CCUACGGGAGGCAGCAGUGAGGAAUAUUGGUCAAUGGUCGGGAGACUGAACCAGCCAAGCCGCGUGAGGGAGGAAGGUACAGAGUAUCGUAAACCUCUUUUGUCAGGGAACAAAGGCGGGGACGUGUCCCCGGAUGAGUGUACCUGAAGAAAAAGCAUCGGCUAACUCCGUGCCAGCAGCCGCGGUAAUACGGAGGAUGCGAGCGUUAUCCGGAUUUAUUGGGUUAAGAGGGUGCGCAGGCGGUCUGUUAAGUCAGGGGUAAAAGCCCGGGGCUCAACCCCGGCCCGCCGUUGAAACUGGCAGUCUCGAGUUGGAGAGAAGUAUGCGGAAUGCGCGGUGUAGCGGUGAAAUGCAUAGAUAUCGCGCAGAACUCCGAUUGCGAAGGCAGCAUGCCGGCUCCACACUGACGCUGAGGCACGAAAGCGUGGGUAUCGAACAGGAUUAGAUACCCGAGUAGUC
rnacentral:rRNA from 1 species